rnacentral:rRNA from 1 species
GUGGGGAAUCUUCCGCAAUGGACGAAAGUCUGACGGAGCGACGCCGCGUGAGUGAAGAAGGCCUUCGGGUCGUAAAGCUCUGUCAUCAGGGACGAACGGCCGGUGGAGUGGAAAGCCAUCGGAUUGACGGUACCUGAGAAGGAAGCCACGGCUAACUACGUGCCAGCAGCCGCGGUAAUACGUAGGUGGCAAGCGUUGUCCGGAAUUAUUGGGCGUAAAGCGCGCGCAGGUGGGAUCUUAAGUCCAUUUUUAAAGUUCGGAGCUCAACUCCGUGAUGGGAUGGAAACUGGGAUUCUUGAGUACCGGAGAGGAAAGCGGAAUUCCCCGUGUAGCGGUGAAAUGCGUAGAGAUUUGGAAGAACACCAGUGGCGAAGGCGACUUUCUGGACGAUGUCUGACGCUGAGGCGCGAAAGCUAGGGGAGCGAACGGGAUUAGAAACCCCUGUAGUCC